rnacentral:rRNA from 1 species
UACGUAGGGUCCAAGCGUUAUCCGGAAUCACUGGGCGUAAAGCGUGCGUAGGUGGAUGUUUAAGUGUGAUGUUAAAUCGUGUGGCUCAACCAUAUCGAUGUGUCGCAUACUGGGCAUCUAGAGGACAGCAGAGGCAAGUGGAACUGGUAGUGUAGCAGUGAAAUGCGUAGAUAUUACCAAGAACACCAAUGGCGAAGGCAGCUUGCUGGGCUACUCCUGACACUGAGGUACGAAAGCGUGGGGAGCAAACAGG